rnacentral:tRNA from 1 species
GGAAGGGUGUCAGAGCGGUCUAAUGAGACAGUCUUGAAAACUGUUAGGGAUGAAAGUCCCUCGCGAGUUCGAAUCUCGCCCCUUCCG